CAUGGAUGCGCUAAUGGACAACACGGAUGACAAGGAAAGUGCCAUCGUACAUGCUCUGGGUGUCUUGAGGAGCUUGUCUUUGGAGGAUGCUGAGCAGGUCUUUCUUUCUGGUAAAGAUUAUCAUUACAGUGAAGUAAAAUAAUUUAACAGACUGUUGACAAACAACUGACGAAAGAAGAGAGACCAUUCAAUAGUCCCUUUAUUUAUCAGGGGUUUCCAGAGCAGAAUGAACCGCAAACUUGUGCAGCAUAUGUUUUACACAGUGGAUACCCUUCCAGCCGCAACCCAGUACUGGGAAACGCCCAUUUACACUCAUACACUUGAACAUGGGGAGAACAUGCAAACUCCACACAGAAAUAACCACUGGCCCAGCCGGGGCUUGAAUCAGCAACCUUCUUGCUGUGAGGCGACGGUGCUUACCACUGUGCUGCCCUAUGUGCUCUAUGCGGGUGAGUGGGAUUGACAAACCACCUGGAGGACACACUCUUGCUGUCUUAAUGCACCAGACAUUUUGAAAUCAUGUGCAUUUCAUGUUUAAUUGUAUAACUGCUAUUUUAUCUCAUAGCACUUCAUUUUUGUCUUGAUAUUUAAUAUCUCUUGUUUUAAAUACACUAUGAGCAGAAUCUGCACUAAUUAUUUUCCUUGUUCCCUAUUUCCACCUGGGGAUAUU
ensembl:processed_transcript